GACGUAGGGCGCAAGCGUUGUCCGGAUUUAUUGGGCGUAAAGAGCUCGUAGGCGGCUCGUUGCGUCGGCUGUGAAAACCCACAGCUUAACUGUGGGCCUGCAGCCGAUACGGGCGAGCUAGAGUUCGGUAGGGGAGACUGGAAUUCCUGGUGUAGCGGUGAAAUGCGCAGAUAUCAGGAGGAACACCGGUGGCGAAGGCGGGUCUCUGGGCCGAUACUGACGCUGAGGAGCGAAAGCGUGGGGAGCGAACAGG
rnacentral:rRNA from 1 species